rnacentral:sRNA from 20 species
AUCAACGGUUACAGAAGAUGAAAAACUGUAACCGGGAUUAAAAUGGGAACAUUUGUAAAAAAGAAUAAAUUGAAUAAUCGUUCCAAGUGGCGUACAUUGGGACAAAAAAUUAGACCGUAGUUUCAGGCUGC